AAAGUUUGACAGGAUCUGAACCUGUAAGUGGGAAACCCAAUGGAUUUCGAGUCCAUCGCCUUAACCACCUCGGCCAAUGACUG